GAAUGCAGUGGCACGAUCUUGGCUCACUGCAACCUCUGCCUUCCUGGUUCAAGUGAUUCUCCUGCCUCAGCCUCCCAAGUAGCUGGGUUUACAGGUGCCUGCCACCAAGCCUGGCUAAUUUUUGUAUUUUUAGUAGAGAUGGGGCCAGGCUGGUCUCCAACUCCUGACCUCAGGUGAUCCGCCUGCUUCAGGCCCCCACAAAGUGCUGGGAUUACAGGCUGAGCCAGGCUGGGAUUCAGGCGCCCAGCCUGAAGUCACUUCUUCCAAAGAGCACCACAUCCUAAUGGAUCUGAGCCUGGCUUUGUGUAUGGGCUGCUAUGCAGCUGAGGAGACUACGGUGCUCCUCCUGAAGUGAAGAACAAGUGAAGUUUGUGCAAAGUGAAAAGAUGUCAAGAGGCCAGGGGAGAGGGGGUGGGGGAUCCAAAUUGAUCCUACCUGUGGCAUCACCAUGGCUUCACUUCUGCUAGCCUCUUACAGUCUUAACAUGACUUUGAGUCAUUACUGUGAACAAAAGUUCUGUCAUAAGGAAUUUGGAAGAAGAGACUUUAUUCCAGUGAAUAAACUGGUGGGGGGCAGAGGGUGGAGAGGAAACACAGCCUUCUAAUAAAGGGAUGGUCCAGGUUUUAUAGCAAAACUUCCUGUUCAGGUUCUCAAUCAGAUUCCUUUUAUGCAAAUGAAGGAUUCAAAUUUGAUUAGUUCUCAUUUGUCAACACAGCUGAGAUCUGAUUAGCUGAUACAGAUGAGCCCCGACUGGUUGCUACAGGUAAAUUUGGACACAGACACAGAUAAAGGAGAAUGCCAUGUGAAGACACACACAGACACACAGAGGAGGCGGCCAUGUGAAGAUGGAGUCAGAGAGUGGAGUUGUGCAGCCACAAGUCAAGGAAUGCUCGGGGCUAUCAGAAACUGGAAGAAGCAAGGAAGGAUCCUCCUCUACAAGCUUCAGAGGGAGAAACACAGUUUGAAGUAUUAAGGAGAAGAGGAACAUGACGUCUGCGAUUUAUUCUCAAGUGUUUUAGAAAAAAUAUGUGUGUCUGUGUGCGUAUGAGUAGAAAGAGAGAAUGAUAAAGCAGUUGUAAGAAGAUGCUUACAAGAGAUGCAUCUUGAUAAAGGGUAUGUGAAAGUUCUUUUUACUGUUUUUGCAUACUAUUUUCUGUAAGUUGAAAGUACUUCAAAUUAA
rnacentral:lncRNA from 10 species